GAUGAACGCUGGCGGCGUGCCUAAUACAUGCAAGUCGAGCGAACAGACGAGGAGCUUGCUCCUCUGACGUUAGCGGCGGACGGGUGAGUAACACGUGGAUAACCUACCUAUAAUACUGGGAUGACUUCGGGAAACCGGAGCUAAUACCGGAUAAUAUAUUGAACCGCAUGGUUCAAUAGUGAAAGACGGUUUUGCUGUCACUUAGAGAUGGAUCCGCGCCGCAUUAGCUAGUUGGUAAGGUAACGGCUUACCAAGGCGACGAUGCGUAGCCGACCUGAGAGGGUGAUCGGCCACACUGGAACUGAGACACGGUCCAGACUCCUACGGGAGGCAGCAGUAGGGAAUAUUCCGCAAUGGGCGCAAGCCUGACCGAGCCACGCCGCGUGAGUGAUGAAGGUCUUCGGAUCGUAAAACUCUGUUAUUAGGGAAGAAAAAAUGCGUAAGUAAACAUGGCUGUUCUGACGGUACCUAAUCAGAAAGCAACGGCUAACUACGUG
rnacentral:rRNA from 1 species